rnacentral:rRNA from 1 species
AUUGAACGCUGGCGGCAGGCCUAACACAUGCAAGUCGAGCGGAUGAAGAGAGCUUGCUCUCUGAUUCAGCGGCGGACGGGUGAGUAAUGCCUAGGAAUCUGCCUGGUAGUGGGGGACAACGUUUCGAAAGGAACGCUAAUACCGCAUACGUCCUACGGGAGAAAGCAGGGGACCUUCGGGCCUUGCGCUAUCAGAUGAGCCUAGGUCGGAUUAGCUAGUUGGUGAGGUAAUGGCUCACCAAGGCGACGAUCCGUAACUGGUCUGAGAGGAUGAUCAGUCACACUGGAACUGAGACACGGUCCAGACUCCUGCGGGAGGCAGCAGUGGGGAAUAUUGGACAAUGGGCGAAAGCCUGAGCCAGCCAUGCCGCGUGUGUGAAGAAGGUCUUCGGAUUGUAAAGCACUUUAAGUUGGGAGGAAGGGCAGUAAGCUACUACCUUGCUGUUUUGACGUUACCGACAGAAUAAGCACCGGCUAACUCUGUGCCAGCCGCCGCGGUAA